AUGGCUGUCGUCAGCUCGUGUCGUGAGAUGUUGGGUUAAGUCCCGCAACGAGCGCAACCCUUGUCCUUAGUUGCCAUCAUUAAGUUGGGAACUCUAAGGAGACCGCCGGUGACAAACCGGAGGAAGGUGGGGAUGACGUCAAGUCAUCAUGGCCUUUAUGACCAGGGCUACACACGUGCUACAAUGGUAGGUACAGAGGGAAGCCAACGCGCGAGCGGGAGCCAAUCCCAGAAAACCUAUCGUAGUCCGGAUCGGAGUCUGCAACUCGACUCCGUGAAGUCGGAAUCGCUAGUAAUCGCAGAUCAGCAUUGCUGCGGUGAAUACGUUCCCGGGUCUUGUACACACCGCCCGUCACACCAUGGGAGUUGAUUGCACCAGAAGCAGGUAGCCUGACCGCAAGGAGGGCGCCUACCACGGUGUGGUCAAUGACUGGGGUGAAGUCGUAACAAGGUAGCCGUAUCGGAAGGUGCGGCUGGAUCACCUCCUUUCAAGAAACGACAGUCGCAACUCGAUGUUGCAAGACGUCCACACAAGACACCUGAUAUUUCACGACAUCGUUUGACGCGAGUUUUUUUUGCGUCGAAUGAAGAUCAAGACCGACCAUGCGUGGCCGGACUCUUCAUCAACAGCCGCUUUGAACAGGGUUCCAGGUUGUCUGGCGUAGGUUCUGGGGUUCGAUCUCACUGGGUCUGUAGCUCAGGUGGUUAGAGCGCACCCCUGAUAAGGGUGAGGCCGGUGGUUCGAGUCCACCCAGACCCACCAUUAUUCCAAGAAUGCCUUGGGGCCUUAGCUCAGCUGGGAGAGCACCUGCUUUGCAAGCAGGGGGUCGUCGGUUCGAUCCCGACAGGCUCCACCACUUUGGAACGGUCGGUUCGUGAAAUAAACAGCACACCCAAGAUUUUUUGAAAUCAUCCGGCAUUGAGGCCGGUGUGAUGUUCUUUGAAAAUUUGUAAACGAGUGACAAGCGCCUUGGUUCGAACCGAACCGAGACAAGUGUUAAGGCACGAAAACGAAGUAUUUGGCUUCCUCAGUAAUGAGGAUGCCCCGAGGCGACUUGGGGUUAUAUGGUCAAGCGACUAAGCGUAUACGGUGGAUGCCUUGGCAGUCAGAGGCGAUGAAGGACGUGGCAGCCUGCGAAAAGUGUCGGGGAGCUGGCAACAAGCUUUGAUCCGGCAAUGUCCGAAUGGGGAAACCCGG
rnacentral:sRNA from 1 species